AUGAGACAGGAGCUGAGCUGUUUGAGUCUUUUACGACUGCUGCAUUUGGCUGAGAAACAAAUGCAGAAACUACUCGGAGGAAGAGAGCGAGGCGGCUGGCAAACGAAGAGCAGAAAUGAAAAGCGUCAGCCGAACACAGCCGGAAAGCCUCAUGGCGGAGCGAUUAACCUCUCGCUCUCGUUUGAAGGGGAUGUGCUGCUUCCGACGAAGACCUGCCCGGUCUUGCUGGGUGCAGCUCACCGCUGCCCGGGGCACCCGCGGGCCGGCGCCGAGCUGGGGGCGCCCCACCGCUGCCGCCCCCAGCGCUCGGCCCCUUCCGGCGGGCCCAGCGGCCCGAGCGGGCCCGGCCCGGGAUCCCGGGGGGACCCUCCCUCCCGCCAGCCCCACACCUACCCCAGGGGCUCGGGCCGCCCUGCGCAGCCGCAGCCGCCGCAGCCGCCGCCGCUGCCCCCGCACGGACCCGCCGCCACCGCCGCCGCGCGCAGGGUCGCGGCUCAUCCCCCUCCAGCCCGGGGACGUGGGGCCGGCGCGCAGGGUGACGAGGCGGCGGAGCUCUCGCGGCGCAGGAAACCCACCGCCUUCCUCCCCUCCCCCCACCCCGGGCCGUGCGAUUGGCCGGCGGCGGGCGCACAUCCUACCGCGCCCCGCUGUCACUGGUCAGCGGCGACGCCGCUCAAGCAAAUCCCCGCCCCCCGCUCAGCUCCUCGGUCUUGCCACGCCCAUCGCGCCGGGCCUCGGCCGUUGAAGCCUUUGAGGCCGCCCCCUUCCUUUCGGCCGCCCAUUCGCGCAGGAGGCUGUCUGUCACGCCGGCCGCGCCCACUGCGCCGCGCGCUGCCCGUCAGGCGCAGCCCCACCUGCCUGCCACUCUCGUUGGACAAAGCCGCCGCCAAUCAAGAUGUAGCCCCUCCCCCUCCCGUCCGGGGGGCGGGGCGGCCGCAUCCACCCGCCGCCGAGGGGGAGGGGGCAGGGUGGCUAACACGCCGCCCGUCAGCCCGCCCCGGCUCGGUGGCGCGCGCCGGCGCGGGUGGCGUGCUGUUGCUGCCGCUGCCGAGGCGCGCGCGCGCGCAUCCCUCCUCCUUCCCCCCCCCCCCAGCUGUUGCCUCGCGCGCGCCCGCCGCCUCCUUGCAGUCUCGCGCUCCGCCGGCUGCUGUUGUCUGCGGCGCGCGCUGCCUCGCUCCGCUGCCGCCUCGCCGCGGCGCCGGGCAACCGGUAAGGUCGGGACCCCCCCGCCGCUGCGGGGCCCAACUUCCCCACCCGGCCGGGGAAGGGGCGACGAACUCGGCG
rnacentral:lncRNA from 1 species